AGUUAUACGGCCAUUGUGUAAAAAGUAAGCGCGCUGGCGGGUAGUGCACGCUGAGGACGGACGGACGCUUAGUUUUCAUUAGAAUUUUUAUUGUUGUGAUAUUAGAUUGUGCCAAGCCAUAAGGAAAUAAACGAAAGACAAAAACGCAACGAUGGAAGACGACCAACAGUUCUGCCUUAGAUGGAACAACCACCAAAGCACACUGAUCCAGAACUUCGACACACUUCUGGAAAGCGGCACAUUAGUCGACUGCACUUUGGCGGCGGAGGGGAAAUAUUUAAAGGCCCACAAAGUGGUCCUCUCCGCGUGCAGUCCUUACUUUGAGGGCCUCCUCAGCGAACACUAUGACAAGCACCCAGUUUUCAUACUCAAAGAUGUUAAAUUCAAAGAGCUCAAAGCCAUGAUGGACUACAUGUACAGGGGAGAAGUUAACAUCUCCCAAGACCAAUUGGCAGCGCUUCUGAAAGCUGCUGAGUCUCUUCAAAUUAAGGGACUCUCAGAAAGUAAAAGUGGCAGCAACUGUAACAGUAAAACAGACCAGAGGCAACAAAAGGUUGCGUCACAAUCCACAGCACAGUCGUUAGACAUUCCACAUCCGUCUUCCGGUCUUACUAUUGAAAAGAACAGCAAAGUUCCUAGGCAGAGUCUAUCGCAGACAUCCGUCGAAUUACCCGAAGACUCUACCAGCCCACAAAUUUCGAGAGGUCUAUCCUCCAGGGAAGGCUCCCUCAGCCCAACGUCAUUGAGAAAAAGAAAAAAAAUGAGAAGAAGAAGUAUUGGCGACGACAACUCUGUUGAAAAUCAUGAAGCAUCGAAUUCCAGUGAUCUGCCCCACUCGAUGGGUGUUCCAGCGCUCGGCAUAGCGCCGGUGGCAGAUGAGAAAGUUCAUGCUGACCCCACAGACUCUCUCGGACGGUCAGCUCUCAUGCAACAAUUGACCAAACCUGCGGAUGAGAUGCUACAGAUGCCAAUCGAAAAACCAGAGCCCAAUGACAACUUAAUAGAGCCAAAGUCAGAGUACCUGGAGGAUCCGGAGGAGAGUGUCGAAGACCUAACACUCGAUGACGAUAUGAAUGACCUCAAUGAAAUGGAACAAGAUAACCCUAGAGCCGGCCCAUCCCACGAUCCAAACCAACACCCUGGUCUUGCUUCGUGGCACGUUACUGGAGAUCGGAGUAAUGCGGGGGGUGUCGUAGGGGCGGUUGGUGGCACCCCCGGUACAACUGACGAGGUCUUUCUUGCAGCCCAGGAGGCCGCCCAGGCCCACCGAGACUCACAAGUUGGGAGAUUGAUUCAUCCAUCCAUGCAGUACGACGAUGUGCGUUCUACAAUGAGUGAUUAUCGCAGACUUGCCUGUCCCAGCUGUGGUCGAACUUACAAAUAUCGUGGAGGGCUCCUCAGACAUCUUACUGAAUGUUUUUUGGAAAUUGAAAAAACGAAACGAUCAGGCCCGUCACAACCCUAAUAUUUAUCCACUACUGCUAUCGCUGUUGCUGCUCCUGCUGCUGCCGCUAUUCCUGCCGCUGUAACUAAUUCAGAGGACAGCUCUACAUCCGAUUAUUGAAAGGGUUGAGAUUCCGUUGGAUUAACAGUAAGUCCAGGAGGAAACGGUUCACCCGGUGAUCUCAAAUUUCGAUGUGUCAUGUGUGGACGUUGCUAUAGAUCUCGAUCUUC
rnacentral:misc_RNA from 1 species